rnacentral:rRNA from 1 species
UACGUAGGGGGCUAGCGUUGUCCGGAAUCAUUGGGCGUAAAGAGCGUGUAGGCGGCCCGGUAAGUCCGCUGUGAAAGUCAGGGGCUCAACCCUUGAAUGCCGGUGGAUACUGUCGGGCUAGAGUGCGGAAGAGGCGAGUGGAAGUUCCUGGUGUAGCGGUGAAAUGACGCAGAUAUCAGAGGAACGACCGAUUGCGAAGGCAGCCUCGCUGGACGUUACUGACGCUGAGACGCGAAGCGUGGGGAACAAACAGG